CCCCUCCACCCUUCCCUAUUUACAAAGACUUUAUUUCUAUUUUCUCCAUUUCUCAUCAUUUUUCCUUUCCCUUCUUUCCUUUCCCCUCCCCCUCCCACUACCCCUACCCCUUUGGACCUUUUCUUCCUAUUUUGCAUUAUCGAUUAUUCACUGUAAUAAUUGGUACAUUUUAGGUAUACAAUAUAAUGACAUUCAUCAUUGGAAAUUUGCACCUUUACAUAAUCUCUCUUCGUUAACACAACAAUUUUCAACACCCUCAAAUGCUAGAGGAAUGAGCAUCUCAGUCCUGAAGAGUAAGGGCAUCUGGAUGGAACUUUCCAAUAUUCACUAGGGUCAUUGCUUUCAUUCCUCUCCCUUUUAUCAUUCGUAGUUUUUCUUAUUAUUAUUGCCAUAAUUACUAUUGUUGCUGGUAUUUUCAUCUAGAAAGAUCAAAUAUCUUCUCAUCACUCUACCUGGGAUAUAACACCCAUAUUAUUGAAUCAUUUUACUUUUGGCACAAACUUCCUGAAAGAAAAGCUUCUUUUGUCUUUUAUUUAUUUAUUUAUUUUUGUACCAGGGAUCAAACUCUGGACCUUGCGUUUGCAAGGCAGGAGCGAUGCCACUGAGCUAAAUCCCUGGCCCAAGAAAAGCUUCUUUUACCUCUUAAGCCACAAUGGUUUUCCAAGGUACUGUUCGACUAGUGAUGGCUGGCUCCGUCACAAGUGGCACCCGAACAGGGACCUGAGAAUUGAGGACAAGGUGAAGGACGCCGCUGGAUUGUGAGCUCGGACAACCUUUAGGGUCUUAUCAGGGAGAGCUUGGAUCCUCGUCAGGGGACUUCGGUGAGUAACUCACAAAGAGACCCGGCUGCCUCUAGUCCGGAGGACAUUUCGUGCAUAGGUAGAAAAACUGAGUAGGAUAUUACAAUUCAAUUUGGCCAAAUAUAUUUGAGUGCACUCUUAAUUUUAUAAAUUGUCGUAUAUGUUUGUCUAUUGUCUGUUGUCUGUCUGUUUGUACAGUUGAGCUCAAUUUUUUUUCUUUUCCUUUUCACCUUUUGAAAAAAUUUUUUCUUAAAAGAUAUUCACCUAUUAUUAAAUUGGCUUACAGAUAAAUGUUAUUAAAUUAAAGGCAUGCCCUCCUUCCCAGGUUGCUAACUGAUCAAAGUGCCACCGAGAUUUAUUUUAUAAAAGUAAUGUGU
rnacentral:lncRNA from 1 species